rnacentral:rRNA from 1 species
UACGAAGGGGGCUAGCGUUGCUCGGAAUCACUGGGCGUAAAGCGCACGUAGGCGGAUUGCUAAGUCAGGGGUGAAAUCCUGGAGCUCAACUCCAGAACUGCCUUUGAUACUGGCGAUCUUGAGUCCGGGAGAGGUGGGUGGAAUUCCUAGUGUAGAGGUGAAAUUCGUAGAUAUUAGGAAGAACACCGGUGGCGAAGGCGGCCCACUGGUCCGGUACUGACGCUGAGGUGCGAAAGCGUGGGGAGCGAACAGG